ensembl:lncRNA
UCUUAAAUGUCUUUAAUUCUUUGAUCCAGAUUAUCCGCCUGAACGGCCGGAUGCUCUCGAUCAGUCAAGAGAUGAGCAGGGUACCGAUCCCCAGACAGCCCGCACAGCAAAAUUGGGGGCUAACGAGCCACCAGCGAAUGUAGAGGUCUCUUGCGGCGUUGAAAUAAAUGAAGCCCGUGCAGGUGAGGACGAUGAGGAUAAGAAGAGGAGAACAACUGCCGAGCAUCUGCAUUACGACUAUGAAGAACUCUGUUCGAAAGCGUUUACUACUGCAGACUCCAACAUCCCUCCGAAUCUGCUGCAGCUCUCGUAUUCGUUCGGCUACGACUGCAAGCGUCGGGCCAACCUGCAGCUGCUGGAUGAGAGCACGCUGGCCUUCAUGGCGGGGAACGUGCUGGUUCUCCUGGACGUUCGCACCAAAGAGCAGCGCUACGUCCGCAGCUGUAGCGGAGGCGGCAUCGGCGCGAUUAUGGUACUAUCUGUCGCUCAUAACAGGCCUGGGAU